rnacentral:lncRNA from 1 species
GCAAGGAGUAGUUAGGUGGUUUGGGACCACUCAGCCCCCACCUUUCUCAGCAGCCCUUGAGGUCAACCAAAUGGCUAAACUGAAGAGCAACUUGGCAGCUAGUCAGAUAGGGGGUGGGGGGAAGAAGGGAGGAAAAGACUUGAAUUUUAACCGCCUCACCAGGGAUCUGACUCCCUGACAAUGAACAUUUAGAAGAUCCAUGCUGUGAUGGUGGUCUGUCCCUGGGAGAAGAUAAAUUUUCUUUUCCUUAUCUUCAUCCAGUGAUUCAAUUAAUGCAAAAACAAACUAAAACAACUCCAAUUGGUGUUUUCUGGGAGGGGCUGUGGAACACAGGGUUCCAGCCUAAGAGGAGCUCAUAGUCUAGUGCCUUCUUUAGGCUAUCAGCCUUGUACCCACCACUCCCUCACCUCGGCCUCUGAUAGAGGAGUAGUUGGAGACCGCGCCAGGGGAGCCACAGACAGAGAAAGCUAUGCAGAGCAGCCGAAUGAGCCACUAUGGGAAUCAGGAUUUCCUAACACAGGACAGGAAAUAUAGAGAAGGAGCUCCAGUCAAGAACAGAUACCUUUCUGGCCCUACAGGAGGAUAACCAUGUGGUGAUCAUCAUUUUUAGAGGCCAAGUUACAGCUGUAAAGCAGACAAGGGUAAAGGAACUUACAGCUUUUGUUCCUUUGCGUGGCAAGGUUGCUCUUGACAUUCACUCCAAAAUGGCCAAUGGGAGUAAUGCCAUGGUAAGUUUCAGAGUUUAUUCUCUUUCUGCCUCUGGACUCAGGGUAUUGUGACUUUCUAUUCAUUUGCUUUGCUGUUAUUAAUAACAUACUAUUUAAUUCACCAAUUUAAAUUGUAUAAUUUGAUAUUUUUCAGUAUAUCUAUAAAGUUGUACAGCCAUCAUCACAAUUUGUUUUAGAACAUUUAGAACAUUUUCAUCACCCCUGAAAAGGAUCCUUGUACCCAUUAGCAGUCAUUCCCACAGCUCCUUGAUCCUUGCCCACAUACCAGUUCUAAGCAACCACUAAUUUUUCUUUCUGUCUCUGUAGAUUUUUCUAUUCUGGGCAUUUCAU